rfam:Ipomoea nil DNA, scaffold: scaffold1525, cultivar: Tokyo-kokei standard.
GUUGCUUUGGCCGAGUGGUUAAGGCCUGUGCCUGCUAAGUACAUGGGGUUUCCCGGCGACAGUUUGAGUCUCUCAAUCAACG